rnacentral:lncRNA from 1 species
GCCGUAGUGAAAGCAGGUACCCUUCUCAGAAGCUUUCUUUCCCUUCUUCCUUUUCAUGACACCACCUUUAGGGUUCAGCUUCCUUUUUGAACCCUUCAUGCCUAAUUUCUUCUUAGAGGUCUUACCCAUAAGAAGAAUUGAAGCCUUAUCCUUUUUAAUAUGGCUUUCUGCUAUUUUGAACAUAUUCAACAGCUCAGACAAUGAAGCACUCAGUUUGUUCAUAUGAAAAUUAACCACAAACUGAGGAAAUGAUUUUGAGAGUGAUUGCAGGAUCAAAU